UGGGGGAUAUUGCACAAUGGAGGAAACUCUGAUGCAGCGACGCCGCGUGAGUGAAGAAGUAUUUCGGUAUGUAAAGCUCUAUCAGCAGGGAAGAUAAUGACAGUACCUGACUAAGAAGCCCCGGCUAACUACGUGCCAGCAGCCGCGGUAAUACGGAGGGUGCGAGCGUUAAUCGGAAUGACUGGGCGUAAAGGGCACGCAGGUGGCGAGAUAAGUUGGAUGUGAAAUUCCCGUGCUUAACAUGGGGACUGCAUCCAAAACUGUUGAACUGGAGUGCUGUAGAGGGAGGUAGAAUUCCACGUGUAGCGGUGAAAUGCGUAGAGAUGUGGAAGAAUACCAGAGGCGAAGGCGGCCUCCUGGACAGAUACUGACACUGAGGUGCGAAAGCGUGGGUAGCAAACAGGAUUAGAUACCCUGGUAGU
rnacentral:rRNA from 1 species